GCAGAAACGGACGCCGUCCCCGACGGCGAUGGUGAUGUGUGGGGCCCAUUUCCAAUAGAACCGAAGCUCGCUUUUUUGGAUUUUGAUUCAGAUGGCAGCGUUGAUGGUAAUGGUCGCUUGGGCUUGGCGAACCUGGUGGUGCAGGCCACGAUGUCCAGAAGCCUCCGGACAUUAGCUACGGCCUGGGCUUCCUCGGUGUAGUCCUCUUCAACCAUCCUGAGCAAACAAGGUUUCAGAGUAAUAAUCUCUACUCUGUCAUUCAAUCUCUGUCCUUUAACCUCGUGAGAUAAAGAAUAGUUUGUCAGGUGACAUGUUUCUACAUUCACAGCCAAUAGCUUCUUCGCAUCAAGUAUCCUGUCAGUGGAGAUUCCCCUGAGGACAACUUGAGUAUCAUAUGGAGUGAUUACAGUAAUGUCAAGAAGGCUUGGCACUACCACUUUAUCCUCUUUCUUUUUCUUCUCUCCCUUAGCUUUAUUUGACUUGCCUCUCCCAGACCUUGGGGCCAUUUCUUUAUC
rnacentral:misc_RNA from 1 species